UGCCAGACUCCUACGGGAGGCAGCAGUGGGGAAUAUUGCGCAAUGGGGGCAACCCUGACGCAGCAACGCCGCGUGAUUGAAGAAGGCCUUCGGGUUGUAAAGAUCUUUAAUCAGGGACGAAAAAUGACGGUACCUGAAGAAUAAGCUCCGGCUAACUACGUGCCAGCAGCCGCGGUAAUACGUAGGGAGCAAGCGUUAUCCGGAUUUACUGGGUGUAAAGGGCGUGUAGGCGGGCUUGUAAGUCAGAAGUGAAAUCUGGGGGCUUAACCCCCAAACUGCUUUUGAAACUGCGGGUCUUGAGUGAUGGAGAGGCAGGCGGAAUUCCCAGUGUAGCGGUGAAAUGCGUAGAUAUCAGGAGGAACAUCGGUGGCGUAAGCGCUUUACUGGGCCGUAAUUGACACUGAGGAACGAAAGCCAGGGUAGCAAAUGGGAUUAGAUACCCUUGUA
rnacentral:rRNA from 1 species